rnacentral:sRNA from 1 species
AUGGAAGUCGGGAAUCAAAGAGGGCAAAUACUGGCAGAUGCUACGGAUGUAACUCCCCAGACCAUUUUAUGAGGAACUGUCCACACAAAAAACAACCAAAGAGCUAAGAGGAAUUUCCAGGGCAACCAAAGACAAAAUACCUCUUUUAAUCACAACCAGGGAAACGACAGAACGCUGGCUCAAUAGGUCGUGAGCUAGUGACAGAAGAUAAAAGGCCUGAUAUGAAGGGAGAAAAACAUGUCCGGACAGGACAUAUAGGGGAAACAGAUGAUAAUUGGGAUAACGGGUUUUAUACAAAUGGAUUAAUUUUUGGGUUUCCUGUCAACUUUUUAAUUGACAGUGGCUCAACAGCGUCAAUAUUAUCUAUUGAUGUUUACGAAAAAUUGCCUUCAAAUGUUUGGUGUUCUUUAGUACCAAACAAGUCCGAAAUAUUUUGACGUUAAUGGCAAUAAGGUUUUUGCCAUUGGAUCAAUCAUUUUAGAACUAAUGCUUGGUCAAGAAAUUUUCAGUCAAAAUUUUAUGAUAUGCAAUAUCAAUCAGGAUGGAAUACUUGGACAGGAUUUCUUACUAAAGGAAGUUAAGUAAAGUAAAUUAUCAGCGCAUGGUCUUGCACACGAUCCACAACCAGGAAAUACAAUGUUGGAUUGGAGGGAAGGCAAAUAUGAUUUGCAGAGUAGAAAUUAAGGACAACAUGACAAUUCCUCCAAUGACGAGUACUAUGAUGCCUGUAGAAAUACAAUCAUUUAACAGAAUACGGAUUAAUAGAGGGCACGACAGGAACAGCCAAGUCUACAUUAACAAUACCUGGGAUUAUAAAUACACAAGAUCAAGUACACUUUGUUAAUGUUGUCAACUAUGGUGACGACGAAGUUAAACUGUAUAAAAAGGAAACAAUAGGAACAUGUGAAUCAUAUACUGAGCAUGAUUUGAAACCAGAGCAGAUUAGAACACUACAGAAAGAUUGCUUUACAGCUAGUGAAGAAAUACCAGAACAUCUUACUGACUUAUUAAAAAGGAGUUCAACUUAUAUAAAUGAGGACCAAAGACAACAACUCUCCAGACUCCUUUCACAGUACCAAAAUGUAUUUUCAAGGACAGAUGAUGACAUAGGGAGGACAGACCUUGUAACACAUAGAAUAAAUACAGGAAAUGCAGUACCCUUUAGGCAGAGAUCUAGACGUAUGCCACUUGGAAAGCAAGAGAUGGAAAAAUCAGAAGUCAAUCGGAUGUUGGACAAAGGAAUCAUCGAACCAUCUUCUAGUCCUUGGGCAUCAAAUAUAGUCCUUGUAAUGAAGAAAAAUGGCAGCCCUAGGUGCUGUGUUGAUUACAGAAUUUUGAAUGACGUCACGAAAAAAGAUUCCUACCCGAUUCCGAGAGUAGACGAGUGCCUCGACUCGCUCGCUGGGGGAAAAUUCUUCGGAUCAAUGGACUUAAAUUCAGGAUUUUGGCAAAUCGGCAUGGCUCCUGAAGACAAGGAAAAGACCGCAUUUCUGACAAGUUUAGGGUUAUACCAGUUCACUGUCAUGCCCUUUGGACUUGCAAAUUCACCAUCUACUUUUGAGCGUCUGAUGGAAAAUGUUCUCAGAGGGCUACAGUGGAAAGAACUAUUACUCUACAUGGACGACAUCAUAUCAAUAAGUUCGACAUUUGAAGAGGGUCUUGGGAGGCUGGAAAGAAUCUUUAUACGUCUACAAAAUGCACAUCUUAAAUUGAAACCUGCCAAAUGCAUUUUCUUUCAAAAACAAGUUAGGUUCCUUGGGCAUAUCGUGUCCGAGGAGGGAAUUUCCACUGAUCUAGAGAAAACAAAAGCAAUAGAUGACUGGCCUGUCCCUAAAUCUGCAAAACAGGUGCGCAGCUUUUUAGGACUUUGCUCUUACUAUAGGCGAUUUGUUAAGGGAUUUGCAGCAAUUGCAAGACCAAUGCACAAAAAUUUGUGAAAAGAAUAGCCGUUUUGCUUGGAAUGAUGAGUGUCAAAAGGCAUUUCAACAGUUGAAAAGCGCUUUAACAAGUACACCUGUACUUGCCUACCCACUGCCAAAUUUGCCAUUCAUACUUGACACAGAUGCAAGUGAUAAGGCUGUCGGAGCAGUGUUGUCACAAAUUCAAGAUGGUCUUGAACGAGUUAUAGCAUACAUGAGCAAAUCUAUGAACAUACAUGAACAGGCAUACUGUGUAACCCGAAAAGAGCUACUUGCUGUAAUUAUAGCACUAAAGACAUUUCAUCAUUAUCUAUAUGGCCAGGAAGUUUUGCUGCGCACAGAUAACGCAGCUGUAUCAUGGAUGAAAAAUCUAAAGAAACCCACUGGUCAAACAGCCAGAUGGCUCGAAGAACUGGGAACUUACAAUUUGACAGUAACACACAGAGCUGGAAGGAAACACUCAAAUGCCGAUGCUCUGUCCAGAAGACCUUGUAAAUCAUGCGAGAGACAAGAAUCUGGAAACCACGCAAGCGACGAUGAAACAGACGAAAUCCAACUUGAAGAAACUGAUUUUGUUAACCAGGAGUUACACGAAAAUGAAGAACCAACACCAAGAAUAGAAAUAGUACGAGUAUGUACAAGAAGUCAGACAGGAAAUCAGUAUAGUGCUACACCAAGUGGUUACUGCAUAGAUGGAUGGGACCCAGAUAGUAUCAGACAAUGCCAAUUGGAAGACCCAGACAUGUCACUCAUUGUGACAUAUCUUCAAGAAAAGAAAAAUAAACCUGACUGGGACCAAGUAUCAAAAGGAACAUCAUUCCAGAAAACAAUAUGGCGACAAUGGGAUAGGCUAACAAUAAACAAUGGCAUGCUUUAUAGAAAAUUUUAUUGUUCUGAUAAAGACGAUGUAGACAACUUCAAAUUGCAGCUCCUGGUACCAAAAUCACACCAAAAGACAGUCUUCAAGUAUUUUCAUGACGUUCCAUCUGCAGGUCAUUUAGGACCAGAUAAAAUGCUAAGUAGGAUCCAGCAACUCUUUUACUGGCCAGCUAUGAAAAGAUCCAUCACAAGGUACUGCAAGGAAUGUGACCAGUGUGCUGCUAGGAAAUCACUGAAGCGGAACAAGGCUCCGUUGGGUCAAUACUUGGUUGGCGAGCCUAUGGAACGUGUGGCGAUUGAUAUUCUUGGUCCACUUCCGUUAACAAAACGACAAAACCGCUAUGUUCUGGUCCUUUGCGACUGCUUUUCUAAAUGGACUGAAGCAUAUGCUAUUCCGGACCAGGAAUCCCUGACCAUUGCCCGUACCAUCGUGAAUGAAUUUAUUUGUAGGUUUGGUUCACCAUUACAGCUCCACUCUGAUCAAGGAAGGUCUUUCGAAGCAAAGCUGUUUCAAGAUCUGUGUGAUCUACUUAAAAUUGACAAAACUAGAAGUACAAGUCAACACCCCCAGUCCAACGGAAGCGUAGAAAGAUUUAACAGAACACUCCUAAGCAUGCUAACAUUUUAUUGUCAAAAUGAUCAGAGAAACUGGGAUGAGAUUUUGCCACAGGUUAUGAUGGCAUACAGAUCAUCAGUUCACGCCAGUACAGGACAGACCCCUAACAUGAUGAUGUUUGGCAGAAACAUAUUUCUUCUAUGGAAGCUGUUAUUCCACGUCCUGAUGGACCAAACGAAUCCACUUCCCCUGAAACAGAUAAAUAUGUAAAUGAAUUACAGGACGCAAUGUCAAAGUCACAUGUACUUGCUAGGAAACAUCUUAAGCAGAAUUCUGAGUAUCAAAAACGUCACUAUGACUUGAAAGCAGUAAAGCGCGAAUUACAAGUAGGUCAAGCUGUAUGGCUUUAUGAUGCAUCGAAGAAAAAGGGAAUUUGUCAUAAGUUGACAUCAAAAUGGAAAGGACCAUAUGUUGUUACAAGGAAAAUUGACGACAUCACUUACCUUGUGAGAAGGUCAAAGAAACAGCCAGGGAAGGUCUACCACAUUGAUAGACUACUGCCCUAUCAAGGACGGAAUCCGCCCACUUGGUUCUCCAGUAGGAAGGUUUGAGAUGCCUUUCAACGUUGUUUGAAUAGCCGAAAUUAGUUGUACAAGUUGUUACGUUUUUAAUUGUUUUGAUGAGUUACUAUGUUUAAGAGUAACUGUUUGACUUUUCUCAGACUGGAGAAAGUCAUGAUGGAAUUCCUAGAGUUGGAUCCACUCUGGAAGAAUAUGUAAGGGAGACAAAUGGCCAUUGUUUCUCAGGACAUAUUAUUGGCUGUAAGGGAAGGAUGAAUCUUCCUGCCAGGGGAAUGGCAGAUUAA